rnacentral:lncRNA from 1 species
AGGAAUAUUUGUAUGGCUUCUUUGGUGGUGGUGGGGAAUGGUAGUAAGGUUUAGGGCUUAACAUGCACUGGUGGUGGAGGAGAAGAAUAUUUGUAUGGUUUCUUUGGGGGUGGUGGAGAAUGGUAGUAAGGUUUAGGGUGGACAUAUGGUGGAGGAGGAGAAGAAUACUUGUAAGGUUUCUUUGGUGGUGGUGGUGGUGAACUGUAAUGGUAGGGAGGAGGAGGUGUAUAAACGGUGGGGGUGGAGAGUGGUAGUAGUAUGGUUUCUUAGGUGGUGAGUACACUGGUGGUGGUGGUGAAGAGUAAUGGUAAGGUGGUUUAACUGGAGGGUACACCCCCGGUGGUGGGGAAUGUGGAGGGUACACCUUAGGUGGUGGUGGAGAACUAUAAUGGUAAGGUGGUGAGACUGGUGGAUACACCUCAGGUGGUGGUGAAUGUGGAGGGUAUUUCUUAGGUGGUGGUGGGGAAGAGUAAUGGUAAGGUGGUUUAACUGGUGGGUACACCUUGGGUGGUGGUGAAUGUGGAGGGUACACCUUAGGAGGUGGUGGUGAAGAGUAAUGGUAAGGUGGUGAAACUGGAGGAUACACCUUAGGUGGUGGUGAAUGAGGAGGAUACUUCUUAGGUGGUGGUGGUGAAGAGUAAUGGUAAGGUGGUGAAACUGGAGGGUACACCUUAGGUGGUGGUGAAUGUGGAGGGUACACCUUAGGUGGUGGUGGUGAAGGGUAGUGGUAAGGUGGGGAAACUGGAGGGUAGACCUUAGAAGGUGGAGGAGGUGAAGAAUACAAGUAGCUGUUUGCUGAAAUUUGAGAU